rnacentral:misc_RNA from 1 species
UUGCUUCUGCUUCAAAUAUCCUAUCUUAAGCUUGAAAGACAAGCAGACUUCUCAUCGUAAUGUUCCUUCUGAGUGCCAGUUACUCUACCCUACAAUGCAUUUCAGCUGCUGAAUUUUAUCUGCUUUUAAUUUCCUGUAACUGGCAUCCUGGUCUUACAUUGAUGCGAUUAUCAGCUUAUGAGCAAGUAGCAACACUCCACUUUGUGCAGUUUUAGGCCUAAUUUUUGUGGUCUCAUUUGUAUAUAUAUUCUUUCUUGAUGCUGAUACAUGAUAGGCAUCUAAUGCCUUUCAAUAUUCCUUGC